AUGUUUUGUAAUAUCAUAUCGUUUUAUAACGAUAUUUAUGUACUGUAUGCGCCUAAAUGUUUCUCAGAGACAUUUCCUUUCACUCGCGAAGCGGAACAGAUGAGGACAUUUUUCAAAACGGGAAAUCCCGAAAAUUUGAAUUGCUCUGCAGUGCACAGAUGCGGAGGUCACUGGGAAACACCAGAAGUAAGUUAACCGUUUUAAACGUUACCUAAUUUAAAAUGUGUUUUAUAACAUCAUGUUAUUUAUAGUGAUAUCUAACGUAUCUGCUGUAACGUUACACUCCUAAACUUUUUCUCAGAGAUAUUUUCCUUCACUCACGAUCCAUCCCUAAUGACGUGACAUGACAUUCAGCCAAGUAUGAUGUCCCAUACUUAGAAUUUGUGCUCUGCAUUUAACCCAUCCAAAGUGCACACACACACUGUGAACACACACCCGGAGCAGUGGGCAUCAAUUACGCUGCGGCGCCCGGGUUUGGUGCCUUGCUCAAGGGCAUCUCAGACGUGGUAUUUACGUUUUUGUUUUGCUCCCUCCUCUGCUCUUCAGUGUUCGUCACUUCUCACCAUGCAUGUGCUUCGUCGACAUCCUUACGUCAUCCGCCCAGAAGGGCUUCUGCGUACAACACUUAGUGCAAGCUAGAAAAACAUUUUAUUAUGGAAGGAUGCACUUUAUUUAACUUUUUUUGGACUGUUCAACAGAAACACCCACCCACUGCAAAUAUAAAGCUUGGAAGAGCCAGGACAUUUUUAAUAAAACACUGUCUGGGUUGGGAGUGGUCACAUGUAUUUCUUCUGUAGAUUAAAAAAAAUAAUAAUAACAUUUGGUGUUCCUCAGAAGACAGAAGGUCAUACAGGUUUAGAACCACAUGAGGAUAAACACAUGACAGAAUCUUCAGUUUUGGGUGAACUAUUGUUUUAUUGAAAUUCAUACUAUUUGACAUUUCACCUGAUAAUAGUUUUGAUAAAUGGAUUUGAAAUGAUUUUGUAUUUUUUUUGUGUGUUUUUAUUUAUUAAUUUUAUUGUUGUUCUUUUUCAAUUUUACAGGGGAAGGUGUAUGAUGCUGUAAAUAGGAGUGGAUCUUGCUAGGCUGAAAACUGCUGAGAAUCACAUCUUGUCGUGCUGAAAAAAAAAAGAAGUUUAGAGAAGACAAAAAGACUAUUCUCUCCAAGGAGGUCCAAACACCAUCACAGACUUUGAUUAGUGAGAAUUAACAUGUAUUCUGCAUUUAUGGUACACAGACUUUGAUUAGUGAGAAUUAACAUGUAUUCUGCAUUUGUGGUAAUAAAUGGUAUGCUGUUGUUUAAACUGAUAAAUGUCAGCAAUAUAAAUCUUAUGACAUUGAGAGUACAUAUGGACCAAAUAAGAAUGUUUUUUGUGUCUUUGUUUUGACAUUAGGAUGUUUAAUUGUUUUAAGACCAUGUUCUUUAAAUUUUUUUAAUUUUAAAUUGUUUUGAAUUGAAAUUACAAUGUUUUAAUAAAAUAAAUAUAUGUAAACAUUUUAUUGUUUUGUGGGUUUAUUUAUAUAUAUAUAUAUAUUUUCACCUGAACACUGGGGCAGUGUUGACCAGUUAAUCCAUGAGUGUUAAUUUUUAACACCAACUUUGGUGUUCUCAUCAUCCAUUCUGGUGUUAAUAUUUUACACCUUAAGAGUAAGUUGGUUAACACUGUCAGAGUGUUAAUAAUGUUAACUCUUUCAAAAGUGUUAAUUUAACACUUUACCAGUGAUUCCCAUAUAUACUAUGGGCAAGUGUUAAUUUUAACUCUGAGGGAGUUAAAUCCACUCUUUAAAAUUUGCUGUGUACAAUGAUUCUCUAUGGUGCUGAAACCUAAAAGGAAUUCCCAUCCUCAUUCAACUGAUAAUGAACUGCCUUUGGCUCAUCUGCAUUUGCUGGGAGGGGCUUACUGAUGCAGUUGGUCAGUUACGAUUCUUUGGUAUUUGAUGGAUCCACCUC
rnacentral:lncRNA from 1 species